GAUGAACGCUGGCGGCGUGCCUAAUACAUGCAAGUCGAGCGAACAGACGAGGAGCUUGCUCCUCUGACGUUAGCGGCGGACGGGUGAGUAACACGUGGAUAACCUACCUAUAAGACUGGGAUAACUUCGGGAAACCGGAGCUAAUACCGGAUAAUAUAUUGAACCGCAUGGUUCAAUAGUGAAAGACGGUUUUGCUGUCACUUAUAGAUGGAUCCGCGCCGCAUUAGCUAGUUGGUAAGGUAACGGCUUACCAAGGCAACGAUUCGUAGCCGACCUGAGAGGGUGAUCGGCCACACUGGAACUGAGACACGGUACAGACUCCUACGGGAGGCAGCAGUAGGGAAUCUUCCGCAAUGGGCGAAAGCCUGACGGAGCAACGCCGCGUGAGUGAUGAAGGUCUUCGGAUCGUAAAACUCUGUUAUUAGGGAAGAACAAAUGUGUAAGUAACUAUGCACGUCUUGACGGUACCUAAUCAGAAAGCCACGGCUAACUACGUG
rnacentral:rRNA from 1 species